UCGGACGUAGUGUAGGGUACACACUCGCCUUGCAUUAGGUAGGUAAAUAAAUGAACCAAUUUAAAGCGGGUACCCGGGGUUCGACUCCCCGCGUCUGAA